GACCUAUUAGCUCAGUUGGUUAGAGUAUCGUGUUAAUAACGUGAAAAUCACAGGUUCAAAUCCUGCAUGUGUCA
rfam:Glycine soja cultivar W05 scaffold523_208, whole genome shotgun sequence.